rnacentral:rRNA from 1 species
AGUGAACGCUGGCGGUAGGCCUAACACAUGCAAGUCGAACGGCAGCACAGGAGAGCUUGCUCUCUGAGUGGCGAAUGGCGGACGGGUGAGGAAUACAUCGGAAUCUACUCUGUCGUGGGGGAUAACGUAGGGAAACUUACGCUAAUACCGCAUACGACCUACGGGUGAAAGCAGGGGAUCUUCGGACCUUGCGCGAUUGAAUGAGCCGAGGUCGGAUUAGCUAGUUGGCGGGGUAAAGGCCCACCAAGGCGACGAUCCGUAGCUGGUCUGAGAGGAUGAUCAGCCACACUGGAACUGAGACACGGUCCAGACUCCUACGGGAGGCAGCAGUGGGGAAUAUUGGACAAUGGGCGCAAGCCUGAUCCAGCCAUACCGCGUGGGUGAAGAAGGCCUUCUGGUUGUAAAGCCCUUUUGUUGGGAAAGAAAUCCAGCUGGCUAAUACCCGGUUGGGAUGACGGUACCCAAAGAAUAAGCACCGGCUAACUUCGUGCCAGCCGCCGCGGUAA